AAGUAAAAUUAAAGUAAAAUGUCAUUUUUGUGAUUUUUUAAUUUGUUAAUUCGUUAUUUAAAUUAAUAGGCCUACAAAUUAGGAAACAGGUGCAGUUAAU